GUGCCAGCGCCGGCAGCUUCCCGGGACUGGGACGAGGAUUCAAGAAAGGGUGGGGGUCGGCAUAGCACUGGCUUCCAGCUCUCCCAGCCUGAGAAUCCCGGGGCCACUCUUGAUCUUGACACCAUGCCCAGGAGCCAGCGCCCUCCUCCAGACCUGCCUUUUCCAGUAGGCUCCAGCUCUGUCAAGUGGCUCCACAAAGAGAUUCAAUAACCAACCAGGAUCAGCUGGCCUUCCCAGGAAGGUAGCUGAAGGCUUGGGCUCUGUCAGAGGAAUGGAGUCUAACGGAUGACAGCGUGCCCUCCUGAUGCAAGUUCCUUCUUACUGACACAAGACCAGUCACCCGGGACAGCCAACCUUCCUUCCUUUUCUCCUUCCUUCCUUCCAUAAACAGCCACUGAGGAGAAUGGGGAGCAGCCCUUCCGCUGGAGGUGGGGAGUGGAGGGCGCAGGUCUGUCUCUUUUAGGUACCUUCCUGCUGUGCUCUUAGCCCCAGUAAAACCUGCUCUCUGCAAGGGACCUGAUGGUUCACCAGUGACUCAGAAGGCAGCUGAGGUGCUCUGGGAGAAGCAUCAUGCAUGGAAGAUCUGGCUCUGAGACCUUCCUGGGCCAUUACGAAACAGACGAAGAUAACUUGGGAGACGGAGCCUAGAAAAUGGCUUGACAUAAAGCAUGCGAAUCAUUUAGCACUAUUGAAGUGUAAAAGGUCAUAUUACUCCUGGCUUAGGCUUCCUCAUCUUUGCGCACACCCAGGCCGAGGACUUCAGUAUUGUCAACUCCUUCUGCUUUUGAUUUCAUGCCCCCAGCACCGCGCAGCCAUCAGAUCCCAUCUACUCUGUCUGUGGAAGUACCUCUCAGAUCCAUCUAGUCACUUUAACAAUGAUUAACCCACCCAAUGACAGGGCUCCAGGCAACUCUCUCAUUUGCUGCUGAGUGUAAUUUAGAACAACUUUUCUGGAGGGAAAUUUGGAAAUGUAUUUCAAUAAUCUUUAAAAUAGUUCUAUUGAUGCUUUUGACUCAGCAGUUGCACCCUAUGAAUAAGGGGGGGGGUAAAAGAUAAGAACAAAGACAUUUUUUAGAAAGCAAGAACGCGUACAACAAUGACAGGUUUUAAAAUAAUAUUUAA